rnacentral:rRNA from 1 species
CAAGGCGACGAUCCCUAGCUGGUCUGAGAGGAUGACCAGCCACACUGGAACUGAGACACGGUCCAGACUCCUACGGGAGGCAGCAGUGGGGAAUAUUGCACAAUGGGCGCAAGCCUGAUGCAGCCAUGCCGCGUGUAUGAAGAAGGCCUUCGGGUUGUAAAGUACUUUCAGCGGGGAGGAAGGGAGUAAAGUUAAUACCUUUGCUCAUUGACGUUACCCGCAGAAGAAGCACCGGCUAACUCCGUGCCAGCAGCCGCGGUAAUACGGAGGGUGCAAGCGUUAAUCGGAAUUACUGGGC